rnacentral:tRNA from 1 species
GAUGUGGUGACGGAACGGCAACGUGCCGGAUUGCAACUCCGAGGCCUCCUUCGGGAGUGCGGGUUCAAAUCCCGCCCACAUCUCCA